GUGGGUGUGGUGUAUGGUACACAGCUGUCAUGAUUGCACAUGUAACAAAUCAAUUGAUGUAGCAGACUUGGGUUCGAAUCCCGGCACCCGCA